UACGUAGGGGGCGAGCGUUGUCCGGAUUUAUUGGGCGUAAAGAGCGCGUAGGUGGCUCGACAAGUCGGGUGUGACAAUUCAAGGCUCAACCUUGAGACGCCAUCCGAUACUGUCGUGGCUCGAGUUCGGUAGGGGAUCACGGAAUUCCUGGUGUAGCGGUGAAAUGCGGAGAUAUCAGGAGGAACACCGAUGGCGAAGGCAGUGAUCUGGGCCGAUACUGACACUGAGGCGCGAAAGCGUGGGGAGCGAACAGG
rnacentral:misc_RNA from 1 species